UUAAACUGAAGAGUUUGAUCCUGGCUCAGAUUGAACGCUGGCGGCAUGCCUUACACAUGCAAGUCGAACGGCAGCACGGAGCUUGCUCUGGUGGCGAGUGGCGAACGGGUGAGUAAUAUAUCGGAACGUACCCUGGA
rnacentral:rRNA from 1 species